rnacentral:lncRNA from 1 species
UCAGACUUUUGAUUAAGAAAACUAUGAAACUUAUGAAUUUUAUACAUAAAUUGUCAUUUUCACAUUUGAAAAAAAAAAAAAAAAUAGACCUAAUGUUAUUUUUUGUCACCUAUUCUACUACUUUACAAUAAAAAUGGGUCAUAUAAUCUUAGAAUAGUUUUUAAAAACUAAACGGGCUUUACGCCGUUGCCCCACUGUCCACCUUAGU